rnacentral:rRNA from 1 species
AUUGAACGCUGGCGGCAUGCUUUGCACAUGCAAGUCGAACGGUAACAGGCCGCAAGGUGCUGACGAGUGGCGAACGGGUGAGUAAUGCAUCGGAACGUGCCCAGUCGUGGGGGAUAACGCAGCGAAAGCUGCGCUAAUACCGCAUACGAUCUAUGGAUGAAAGCGGGGGACCGUAAGGCCUCGCGCGAUUGGAGCGGCCGAUGUCAGAUUAGGUAGUUGGUGGGGUAAAGGCUCACCAAGCCAACGAUCUGUAGCUGGUCUGAGAGGACGACCAGCCACACUGGAGCUGAGACACGGCCCAGACUCCUACGGGAGGCAGCAGUGGGGAAUUUUGGACAAUGGGCGCAAGCCUGAUCCAGCAAUGCCGCGUGCAGGAAGAAGGCCUUCGGGUUGUAAACUGCUUUUGUACGGAACGAAACGGUCCUGGUUAAUACCCGGGGCUAAUGACGGUACCGUAAGAAUAAGCACCGGCUAACUACGUGCCAGCCGCCGCCGUAAGAC